UAGGGAAUCUUCCGCAAUGGACGAAAGUCUGACGGAGCAACGCCGCGUGAGUGAAGAAGGAUUUCGGUUCGUAAAACUCUGUUGUUAGGGAAGAAAAAAUGUAUAGUAACUAUAUACAAAAGAGACGGUACCUAACCAGAAAGCCACGGCUAACUACGUUCCAGCAGCCGCGGUAAUACGUAGGUGGCAAGCGUUGUCCGGAAUUAUUGGGCGUAAAGCGCGCGCAGGUGGUUUAGAAAGUCUGAUGUGAAAGCCCACGGCUCAACCGUGGAGGGUCAUUGGAAACUAAUAAACUUGAGUGCAGGAGAGAAAAGUGGAAUUCCUAGUGUAGCGGUGAAAUGCGUAGAGAUUAGGAGGAACACCGGUGGCGAAAGCGGCUUUUUGGCCUGCAACUGACACUGAGGCGCGAAAGCGUGGGGAGCAAACAGG
rnacentral:rRNA from 1 species